ACUAGUUCCUCUCUCCACUGACGGCUGCUGGCAAAGAUGCAGGCAGCCUGAGGUUGAUGGCGACAUGGGCAGGUAUCAUUGCAAAUAGCUGCGGCAUUGUAAACAAUGCAGAGUAUCUUGCCAACGACUACUCAUUGACCUUGUUUGGCUCUGGGAGCAAUGAGGUAAGGCUGUUGAAAUAAGUUUGAGAUUAUGAAACACUAGACUACCAUCAAAAACAUAAAAAUAGGAUAAUCUUUUUCAGCAGAGUAUGUAAGAAAUUUUCAUAAAAAGAAAUAAUUAUCACUCUGUACAGACUGGGGAUUUUCUUUUGGUUUGAAGAAUUUGACAUUUGCUGUGAUUUACCAAAAUAAGUGUUGAUGGACCUAAGCUGAAUGUAACCUGAACUGUGAAUAGAGCCAGAACUGUGCGGAACUUCCAGUCAUCUCCAUAGAAAUACAGAAUGCAUAGAAAAUACAAGGGUAAGAAGAGGAAUCAUGUGGAAGAAGAGUAAACAUCUGGUAUUCAAUGUUUAUAACUCCCUUUAUAUAGGUUAUGCAGAUCUCUUUAGGUUAAGCAAUUACCCAAGUGCUAAUCAAUAGUACAGAAGUCCAAAGAAAGCCAGCUGGAGUUCUGAUCAGGAAGUCCAUAUUCCACAGGAGGCUAACAGAAGUGCUUCUGUUUUUUGUGUUUCAAUUAGCAAUCCGUAUGGAAAUUAGCAGAUUGAGCAGAAAUUUGCUUGUAUUGGUGAAGUGGGUGACUUAUAAAUUAGGAUAAUUUCACUGCUUGGCAAAAUUUUAAGUUUUCAGGAGAAAUGAUUUCUUUAAAAACAUGUUAGAG
rnacentral:lncRNA from 10 species